UCCGGUUUGUCACCGGCAGUCUCGUUAGAGUGCCCCACUUAAGGCUGGCAACUAACGACAGAGGUUGCGCUCGUUGCGGGACUUAACCCAACAUCUCACGACACGAGCUGACGACAGCCAUGCAGCACCGUCUCACUGGCUCUCCGAAGAGCACCCCGACAUCUCUGUCAGGUUCCAGUGGAUUUAACCCAGGUAAGGUUCUGUGCGUUGCGUCGAAUUGAACCACAUGCUCCACCGCUUGUGUGGGCCCCCGUCAAUUCCUUUGAGUUUUAGCCUUGCGGCCGUACUCCCCAGGCGGAGUGCUUAACGCGUUGACUGCGACACCGCGGGGGUCAAUACCCACAGCAUCUAGCACUCAUCGUUUAUGGCGUGGACUAC
rnacentral:misc_RNA from 1 species